ACUCAAGGAAAAGAGAUUUUUUCUAAUGCGAAGAAGGAUCAUUAAGUACGAUAAGCUAUUGCGCGGGAGCACGACCGUGAAGAGAAUAGAAAAAAAGAGACCUCAGUGAAGGAAGCAGUUCCUUGGAAAGCAGGGAAAGACGUUAAGUGAGGGAGAGUGAUCUCGUCCCGUAGAAUUGCCUAAUCUCAUGCCUAUAACUGGAAUUCACUCCAUUUAUACCUAAGAGUGUAAACGUUUUAACAUUUCCCUUCCGUGAUGCCUUCGCUGUCUCUCACGACCUCGAUCUGAGGCGCCUCAGGAGGCGCGACAGCAUCGACAGCGACAGCUAUAGCAUAGAGGAUUGAGGAUUCCUCUGAGGAAGGAACAACUACAGGCUCGCUGAACAAGGACUCUGAUGUGACGGAGCUGACCUUCCGCAAACGACCUGACCAUCAUAUGGCUCUCGAAGAACAUUGAAAAUUCUUUACGCUUUCGUUAGUGAGGUACAUCAUUGGCAAAACGAAAUUUUGAGUUUUCAUAUGACCAAUAAUCUGUAUUUUCAGUAACCAAAAAAUAUCUGUUGAUUGGCAAGAAAAAACGUAUAUAUUUUCAUCUUUAUUGCCUACU